CACGGACCGCACGAACGUUAUUCGGUAUCACUGGGCUUAAAGGGUGCGUAGGCGGCUUUGCAAGUUGGGUGUGAAAGCCCUCGGCUCAACCGAGGAAUUGCGCUCAAUACUGCCGAGCUCGAGAGAGACAGAGGUAAGCGGAACUAAUGGUGGAGCGGUGAAAUGCGUUGAUAUCAUUAGGAACACCGGUGGCGAAGGCGGCUUAC
rnacentral:rRNA from 1 species